GAACUAUAAUUUAAUGCGAUGUUGUACAAAUUUAUUUUAUGGACAGCUCAUUUUAGCUUUUCUCUAAUGCCAGAUGCAAGGAGUGGUAAACUUUUUUGGCCGCAUUUCAAUUCUUAUUGACCAAAAUACUCAAGCCUUCCACAUGUUUAUGACAGCGCUUCUUCAGCUUUUCGAUCGAUCUGGAAUGUUAUAUGGUGAGCUUGCUAGAUUUGUGUUGAGGUUGCUGGGGAUCAGGACGAAGCCCAGGAAAGUCCACCCACCAGGCCCUGACGGACUUCCACUUCCUGGACCGGGCAACCCUCAUGCCGUUCGGGGCUACAGUGAGGAACCAAAGGCCGCUCCGACUGGUUCUUGGGACAAUGUUUGGGAAAAUGAUGCCUCUAGAUAAUGUUGGAUCAGCUACUUUGGCUGAGUGCACACAGAUCGGUCAAGAACGCAAUUCGUGUGUGUGAGUGCGUGCGUGUGUGGAUUUCUCGAGCGGACUGGAUCUCUGUUGUGCUUUAGUGUAAUUUGUUAUCGUGCAGAAAGCACAUAUGAUAAAUAAUAAAAGUGCGAUGGCUUGGUUGAGAAAUCUUGAUUAUAGUCGCAAUAGCUACUGGAAUGUGUUGAGUGAGAACUCAUUCCUGUUAAUUAUGUUGCACCAGUGAAUGUGUUGGAAACAGCAAAUUAAAGGUUUGUUUUGGGAGGGUUGGACUGGCAAGAAUAUAGACCAUUGGGAAAUGAUUUUCAAUGGCGGUUGUUCGCGUA